UUGUGAUAUAGCUCAGUUGGUAGAGUGCUUGCCUUGCAUGCACAAGACCCCUGGGUUCAAUCCCCAGCAGAAG
rnacentral:tRNA from 1 species